rnacentral:rRNA from 1 species
UAAAUCAGUUAUGGUUCACUAGAUCGUACAGAUUACAUGGAUAUCUGUGGUAAUUCUAGAGCUAAUACAUGCACACACUCCGUUCCCUCGUGGAGCGGAGGCAGUUAUUUGCCUAAAAACCAAUCCGGCCUUCGGGUCGGUCAAUUGGUGACUCUGAAUAACCGAAGCAGAGCGCAUGGUCUCGUACCGGCGCCAGAUCUUUCAAGUGUCUGACUUAUCAGCUUGUCGUUAGGUUAUGUGCCUAACGAGGCUCCAACGGGUACGGGUGUUUGGGGACAGACACCGGAGAGGGAGCCUGAGAAACGGCUACCACAUCCAAGGAAGGCAGCAGGCGCGCAAAUUACCCACUCCCGGCACGGGGAGGUAGUGACGAAAAAUAACGAUGCGAGAGCUUUUAGCUCCUCGUAAUCGGAAUGGGUACACUUUAAAUCCUAUAACGAGGAUCUAUUGGAGGGCAAGUCUGGUGCCAGCAGCCGCGGUAAUUCCAGCUCCAAUAGCAUAUAUUAAAGUUGCUGCGGUUAAAAAGCUCGUAGUUGGAUCUGGGUAGUCGAUGGACGGUGCGCCUCACGGCGUCUACUGUUCGUUCGGCACCACAUGCCGGCCAUGUCUUGCAUGCUCUUCACUGAGUGUGCUUGGCGACCGGAACGUUUACUUUGAAAAAAUUAGAGUGCUCAAAGCAGGCGUUAAGCCUUGCAUAAUGGUGCAUGGAAUAAUGGAAUAGGACCUCGGUUCUAUUUUGUUGGUUUUCGGAGCUCGAGGUAAUAUUAACAGGAACAGACGGGGACA